rnacentral:rRNA from 1 species
UACGUAGGGUGCAAGCGUUAAUCGGAAUUACUGGGCGUAAAGCGUGCGCAGGCGGUUGUGCAAAGACAGAUGUGAAAUCCCCGGGCUUAACCUGGGAAUUGCAUUUGUGACUGCACGGCUAGAGUGUGUCAGAGGGGGUAGAAUUCCAACGUGUAGCAGUGAAAUGCGUAGAGAUGUGGAGGAAUACCGAUGGCGAAGGCAGCCCCCUGGGAUAACACUGACGCUCAUGGCACGAAAGCGUGGGGAGCAAACAGG